CGAGGAAACCGGAUCCCUCCUGGCCUCCCACUUCCUGCUAAGGGCAGGGUUUGGGUGGAGGAAAGGGAGGCCGGGAGGGAGGGAAGGCGAGUUCGCUCCUAGGCGCCCAGAGAAGAAGAGAACAGAGGUUUGGGAAAGCAAUUUUGUAACCCACAUGACACACAGCUACUUCUGGCUGGGUUCUGUGAUGGCUGCAUGGGAGACAUGUUCUACAAAGGAGACUACCUGUGUUCAGAUAGAAAAGCAUGGGGACAGCACGGAAGCAUGCAGGAAAGCUGCCAGAUGGUGUGGAGCAGCCGAUUCUCUGCUGUUGAAGAAGGCUUGAAUUUUAAACAGAUGAGAACAGAGCCCUGUGAGCAGCCUUCACAACCACCACCAACAUUAUUCCUUUUGUCUUUGAGUAAAAGCAAUAGGUAUCCAUUUGAUCCUGGCAUCCAGCUACUAUAAAAGCCUGCAGACCCAUCCUUCCUUGUUUGCACUCUUGCCUGAGGCAACUGCCAGAGCAAAGGGAGACGAGGAGGUUGGUGUCCUUUCAUUUUCUUCACUUGCUGUUCAGGAAGCGUUUCAGGAGGCAUUCACAUAACCAAAAGGAAUAACGCCAGCUCAGAAAUAAAUUGACAUUGAAUUGUGCAGCUCCCUUGUGGGCUGUAAUCCUAAGGCAUGAUCCUUCUGGGAAGUAGGCCAACCUUUUGACUGGUGACAUCUCGCCGGAGUUUCUGCAUCUGGUCACGACAAAUCGCCGGGGAUCAUCUGUGUGGGUAUCAGACUUGCUUUGGGUCAUGUACAUACAAACAUGAUAUAAUUUUCCCAGAGCAAACAAGCUGAUCUGUUGUCACUUGCAGCUUUGAAUUUCGUUCUUCCCUAUAAGUGAGUUGCAGUGUCCUUUUUAAACAAGGUGCUGUGUGUAGUUCAGGGUCCUCUCUGCUGUUUUCCAAGUUCCAAAGUAGAGAGUCAGUUCUGUUCCAGUUACAGACACAACAUGCUGGAGGACUGUGUCCCUCCUUCGCCUCUCACUCUAGUCAGCAAAAUUCUGUUAUAGUGCCAUCAUUCCAUUUUAACUGCCAUGCCAACUUCCUAUAGAAUCCUGAUACUUUCAUUUUUUUUUCAAAUUCUCAGCCAGAGAUCACUUCUGCCCCAUCCAAACUACAAAUCCUAGGAUUUGAUAGGAUGUAUCCAGAGCACCUGGUGGCACUGCAGAUUAAAUCACUGAACUGCUGAACUUGCUGACCAAAAGGUUGGUAGUUCCAAUCCAGGGAGCAGGGUGAGCUCCCACUGCUAGCUCCAGCUUCUGUCGACCAAGCAGUUCAAAAACAUGCAAAUGUGGGCAAAUCAAUAGGUCCUGCUCCAGUGGGAAAAUAAUGGCGCUCCAUGCAGUCAUGCCGGCCACAUGACCUUGGAGAUGUCUACGGACAAUGCUCUUCAGCUUAGAAAUGGAAAUAAGCACAAACCCCCAGAGUCGGACACGACUAGACUUAAUGUCAGGGAAACCUUUAUGUACCUACCUUGCCAGUUACAGUGGAAGAUGGCACCAUAAUUAUGUAAAGUGAAAGGGCCAUAAUUAGAAAGGGAAAGUGGCUGCUUGAGGAGAUAAUUUGUUAGUGGAGUUGUGGCAUCUCCUUAUUUAGGACUAUCAAACCAUGGGUUUUGAUCCCAUUGUUAGACCCAACUAGAAGAGAACCUUGGAAUGGAGAGGAUUUGCUUAUAUGUUGCCCCACUCUUCAACAUUGAUUCAAUGGGUUUACUCUAGAUGGGAUGAACCAAUAGGAUUUUGGACUAUAAGGUGCAUCUACACUGUAAAAAUAAGGCAGUUUCACACUGUUUUAAACUGUCAAGACUAUGGAAUCUUGGGAGUGGUAGUUUUAUAAGGUCUUUAACCUUCUCUGCCAAAGAGUACUAGUGCCUCACCAAAAUACAACUCCCAAGAUUCCAUAACAUUGAGACAGGGCAAUUAGGUUGCUAUCAAACUGCAUUAAUUCUGCAGUCCUAGAAGGGACCUCAGUGAUCAUCUGUGCCUGGAGCCCUUCCACACCAACCAUUCUAGUGCAAUGACUUUACUUCAACUGCCUUGGUAACAUCCUGCCAAAUCCUGGAAUUUGAAGUCUAGGGAGGGGUAUUUUACUCUCUCAGCCUCAGAGGAAGGCAAUGGAAAUGCAAACAUCAUGACCCAUCUGCCAGAAAAAUCAUGGCAGAACAUGGCCCCAUCUGAAUUCCCCAAUAGAUAGAUAUGCUUACGAAGCCUAAAAGCCCAACGAGUUCUUGGUGGCAAAGACCUCUUCCCAAGAUGUAAUAAUGGAAAAAUUCCCUUCAAGAGCUGGUGUUUAGACCUCACAAAAAUGCACAGCAAAUUGCACUGUGAUUUAUUUGUCAAUGUCUUUAUAGGCUGGGCGUUACUUUACCCCACAGCUGGAGUCAAUUUUUAAUAUUUAAAAGUGGAAAGAAAGCAAAACCUAAACACAUACAGAUUUGUCUGUUUUAGAUUGUGCCUUCCCCAAACAUUACUGUUUAGAACUGAACCCUGAAGAUAUUUCUCUGAGGGAGGGAGCAGCUGACAUUAUAACUGAGGCUGGACAGAUGGUACACAAAGAACUCCGCAACUGCAACUGCCUUUGCUCUGAACUGGGACCCAUAACAACUGCAGUGGUCGGCCCUUUGCAUUAGUCCCCUUUUCUACUGAAGAGCAACAGGCAUCGUCCAUGUAGAUCUUCCAUGUCUAGUCUCUUGUGGCACAUCCACUAAACAUACUAGGUGUGGUGCAAUGAAUUGUGCUUGAAAGUCAACAGUUGUCUGAAUGACUGCCAAAUAAAUAGAUUCUCUUUUUAAAAAAAUGAGAUGGCAGUGUUGAUUUACAUCAGUCUUGAAUCACACACAAUUAGAGCAAUUGCUACAGCAUUGUACAACAGGGAACCUUUCCAAUGCCCUUCAAUGUUAUUUGCUUAGCCAGCAGAUGCAAACAGUGUAACAGCCCCACUGACGCAUAGAUCCAACAGAAAGGCAUGCAGUUUGCUCCUCAACAAAAUCAAUGUCGAGAUCUAUGACCACCUUUAACUUUUGGAGCUAGAUGCCUUUCCCCUCUAUUUUGACACAAAGCCAGAGCUCAGAAAAGUUCCUUUUUUGUCUUCCACUCCCACAAUCCCUUAAGCAAUAAGCCACCUAGAAGGCUGUGGGACCCGUAAAGCAAAAAAAGUCAUGACACCAUAGAGUAGAAGAGAUCGCUAUCCAGUCCAACCUCCUGUGAUGUGGGAACACACAAUCAAAACACUCCCAACAGAUGGACAUUUAGCCUCUUUUUAAAAUAAACUCAUGAGGAGGAGACUCUGAGGCAGCAUCGUCCACAGCCAAACAACUGUUAUUGUCAGGACGUUCUUCCUAAUAUUUACGUGGAAUCUCUUUUCCUGCAGUUUAAAUCCAUUGCUCUAGUCGAACUGCUAGGUUGGCAGGAGCUGGAGCUAAUAGCGACUGCUCCCGCCGCUCUUGCCGCUCCCGGGGUUUGAACCUGGGACCUUUUGGUCUCCAGCUCAGUGCUUUAACGCACUUCGCCACCGGGGCUCCAUAUAUAUAUAUAUAUAUAUAUAUAUAUAUAUAUAUAUAUAUAUAUAAUUUCUUGCCU
ensembl:lncRNA